GCCGAGCGUGGUGGCGCAUGCCUGUAGUCCCAGCUACUUGGGAGGCUGAGGUAGAAGGAUCGCUUGAGCCCGGGAGGUCGAGGCUGCAGUGAGCCGUAGUAGUGCCACUGCACUCCAGCCUGGGCGACAGAGCGAGAUCUUGUCUCAA
ensembl:misc_RNA Metazoa_SRP Metazoan signal recognition particle RNA